CAGUACCUGACACAAGGAAUUCAAUCAAUCAAUAAUGAAUGAAUGAAUGAUAGAAAAGUGGGGAGCAAAAGAGGAAAUACCUAAACUGCUCUAAAAUCAAGUCUCAAAAAUUAAAAAAAAUUGGAAACAGCAAUGACGGUGUGGAGAAACACCAAAAGACAUAAAAGAAAGGAAAAUCAGGGAGUGAACUCCUCCUGUUCCCAGUCCGUGGCCUUUGAGUGAGCUCCCAUCCCUGGCUCCUAGGACGGGACAGCUAACACAGAGCUCCGAGUCAAGCAGACACAGUGGGUGCCAUCCUGACACCUCAAGGGAACAGCACAUCUGGGAAAAGUGUCUAAUAGAGAAGAGGAGUCAAGAGAAGAAGGGGGAGAAUCACAGCCCUGAGGACACCAUCUAUGUUCUGGAAUUCUACCAUGCUUAAAGAGGAGGAAGCUAAGGCACAGAGAAGUUAAUGUGCUCAAGACUAUACCACUGGUGAGAGGCAAAGCAAAGAUUUAAACCCACCUUGAGUUCAGAGUCUUCCCUCUUCUUAAUAACUAAACUGCACCAUAAUUUGAAAGACACAGUAAGAAACACCAUGGUAUAUUUAGUCCAAUGUAAUUUUAUAUGUGUGUAUGUAUAUAUAUAUAUAAUAUAUAUGGUAUAUAUUAUAUAUAUAUGGUAUUAUAUAUAUAUAAUAUAUAUAUGGUAAGUUUGUUUUCAGAAUUCUCACCUUUUCCUUUUCCUUUUCUUGUUCCCAUCCUCAACAAUUUCAAACUCACACACAUGUCUUCUGACAUAGUUUGGCCGUGCCCCUGACCAAAUCUCACCUUGAAUUGUAAUAAUUCCCAUGUUUCAAGGGCAGGACCAAGGGCAGGAACGUGGGGGCGAUUUUCCCCAUGCUGUUCUCGUGAUAAUGAGUGAGUCUCGCGAUAUCUGAGGGUUUUAUAAGCAUCUGGCAUUUCCCCUGCUUGCACUUACUCCAUUCUGCCGCCCUGUGAAGAGGGUGCCUGCUUUUCCUUUGCCUUCUGCCAUGAUUGUAAGUUUCCUGAGGCCUUCCCAGCGAUGUGGAACUGAAACCACACAUUCAAAAUAAUGCUAACCUGUCAAGUUAUUGAUCUGCACUGUACAUAUUUCCUGGUCAUAGGCAGCUUCCACACAAGAACAUCUGGAUGCAAAUUAAAGAAUUCAAUUACUCAAGCCUAAGUGAUAGAGGAGACCUCGGCUACUCUGCCUGAGCACAUCACUGCUGGAUCUCAAAAUCUGCAAGAACUUCCUAGGGCUUCAGGAACUUUCAUGUGCAUACCAGUCACCUGGGAAUCUUGUUACGAUGCAUAUUCUUUUUCAGUAAGCCCAAAUUCUGCAAUUCUUAUAAGGUCUUAGGGGACAUGAUGUUUGCUUCUAGUGGUCCAUGGUCUACUCCUGAAGGUCCACCAUGCCCAGCUUCAUCUCCCCACCCUCUGGAAACUCUCCUGUACCCAAGCCACUUGCUCUCUUCUAAAUAGGCAUUGUGUUCCCAUGUUCCCAUGUGUCUGCCUCUUUCAACUUCUCCUCUAAAAAUUCUCCAUGACCCCCAAGCAUAAGCCUCCAGCAGCAAGCUCAAAAAUGCUUUCUACUCUGUUGUGUUGCCCGGCCCACUUCAAGAGUAGAUGCUCAAUUCCUUCUUCCCCUAGUCGUAUUUGCUGCUACUUUUGCAGGCUGCUGGAACACUUUCACUCUGAGGAUUCUGAUGAACACAGUUCUUGCCCUCUUCACUUUUCCAAUCUGGUUGCAGGCACAGCGGGGGACAGCAGGAGUGCAACACAGUAACUUAAUAUAAUAUGGAGCUGCUAUUAUGGAGGGAAACAUUCACUGCUCUGAAAGGACUCAACAGCUGAGUCUUAAAGAAGGAUUUUACAAGAUUGACAAAGAAAUGGGUUAUCUCCAGAUAGGAAGGAAAAAUCACAAGGAAUAGUACAGCAAGGAAAGAGGAAACAGCACUGGACUUGGGGAAAAGGGAAAUCCUUGAGAUGUUGCUAAGGCAUAAAGAGCAAGACAGAGAGUGUCAGAAGAUGACACUGACGUCACCUGACUCCUGCUGCUGAGCUUCUCUGACAUUUUCUCAAGGGCUCAAGGCUUGGAUACCCUCUGAUAUGGUUUAUCUGUGUCCCCGCCCAAAUCUCACCUUGGUUUGUAAUCAUCUCCAUGUGUCAAGAAUGGGACCAGGUGGAGAUAAUUGAAUCAUGGGGGCAGUUUCCCACAUACUGUUCACAUGGUAGUAAAUAAGUCUCAUGAGCUCUGAUGGUUUUAUAAAUGGGAGUUCCCCUGCACAGGCUCUUUUUGCCUGCCACCAUGGAAGACACCCCUUUGCCCUUCCUUUAUUUUCUGCCACAAUUGUGAGGCCUCCCUAGCUAUGUGGAAUUGUGAGUGCAUUAAACCUCUUUCCUUUACAAAAUUACCCAGUCUUGGGCAUGUCUUUAUUAGCAGCAUGAGGACAGACUAAUACACCCUCUUUCAAUACCUAAAAUAGACAAAGCCCUAUUUGGAAUUUUGGAAAAACACAAUCUAGUCUCCGAAGGUAGGCACAGAAGCUCUGAGCUGACACAAUAUUGAAGUCGUUACUUGCCUGGUCCUUAGGCAUUUCCUAGUCCACAAUCACACAUCCA
rnacentral:lncRNA from 10 species